rnacentral:rRNA from 1 species
UACAGAGGUCUCAAGCGUUGUUCGGAUUCAUUGGGCGUAAAGGGUGUGUAGGUGGCGCGCUAAGUCGGGUGUGAAAUUUCGGAGCUUAACUCCGAAACUGCAUUCGAUACUGGCGUGCUUGAGGACUGGAGAGGAGACUGGAAUUCCUGGUGUAGCGGUGAAAUGCGCAGAUAUCAGGAAGAACACCCGUGGCGAAAGCGGCUCUCUGGGACGGUACUGACGCUGAGACGCGAAAGCGUGGGGAGCAAACAGG